rnacentral:rRNA from 1 species
UACGUAGGGUCCAAGCGUUAUCCGGAAUCACUGGGCGUAAAGCGUGCGUAGGUGGAUUGUUAAGUGCGAUGCGAAAUCCUGUGGCUCAACCAUAUGGACUGUACCGCAUACUGAUUACCUAGAGGAUAUGAGAGCAAGUGGAAUUACCGGUGUAGCAGUGAAAUGCGCAGAUAUCAGGAGGAACACCUAUUGCGAAGGAGCUCGCUGGGACGUAACUGACGCUGAGACGCGAAAGCGUGGGGAGCAAACAGG